rnacentral:rRNA from 1 species
UACGUAGGGUGCAAGCGUUGUCCGGAAUUAUUGGGCGUAAAGAGCUCGUAGGCGGUUUGUUGCGUCGGCUGUGAAAUCCCGAGGCUCAACCUCGGGUCUGCAGUCGAUACGAGCAAACUAGAGUGUUGCAGGGGAGACUGGAAUUCCUGGUGUAGCGGUGAAAUGCGCAGAUAUCAGGAGGAACACCGGUGGCGAAGGCGGGUCUCUGGGCAACAACUGACGUGGAGGAGCG